rnacentral:lncRNA from 1 species
GAUGUGUAGCUGCUGCAUUUUAAGGUGGAGCAGACCACUUUGGAAUCAUCUUUCCAGUUGAGUCUGUUGAGGACCUAGGUGCUUUCUUCCUUGCUCUAUCUACCCCCCAAGAAGGAAUUCCCAAUGAGAAGCAAGGCUACCUGUUUGAGACCUGGGGGACUGUAUAUAUUUAUUCUGUGCUUACCACUGUCUCUCUUAUCUGAAGCAAGCACCAUGGGAAUGGGGAUCAUGACUAAUUUUAUUCCCCCUGACGACACAGGUCUAAGCACAUUACCUAGAAUAGAAUGAUGAAUAUUGACCAAUGUUCAUGAAGUGAAUGGUGUGUCUGUUUCUCCUCCACUACCCUACCACUCCCAGGCAAAAAAAAAAUCCUCUCUAGAAAGGCCAUCAGUCCUCUAGAAAUCCUUUAUAUACCUCCUUUCUAUUAUUAACACUUUUUUCCCUCUUAAAACUAGCUGCAAUCUUGACUUUUUACACAGUUUCAUUUCAAUGAGUCUUACAGUCUUUUUUUUUUUUUCUUUCAGUUUUUGCUUGUGAAAUCCAUCAGUGUUUUGGCAUGUUAUUUUGGUGCAAAAUGCCAAUGCACAUGUGAUUGUAGCUUACAAAACAAAAACAAACAAACAAAAAACAGCCUGAGUUACAGAGUCCAUUAACACGAAGGACUGAAACACAGAAAGAAACUGCACAGAUUUAUAAGCAUGUGCAGUGCCCUCACCAGAGAGAGACACCAG